rnacentral:rRNA from 1 species
CUACGUGCCAGCAGCCGCGGUAAUACGUAGGUCCCGAGCGUUGUCCGGAUUUAUUGGGCGUAAAGCGAGCGCAGGCGGUUAGAUAAGUCUGAAGUUAAAGGCUGUGGCUUAACCAUAGUACGCUUUGGAAACUGUUUAACUUGAGUGCAAGAGGGGAGAGUGGAAUUCCAUGUGUAGCGGUGAAAUGCGUAGAUAUAUGGAGGAAUACCAGUGGCGAAGGCGACUUUCUGGACUGCAACUGACACUGAGGCACGAAAGCGUGGGGAGCAAACAGGAUUAGAUACCCUGGUAGUCCACGCCGUAAACGAUGAGUACUAGGUGUCGGGUGAAGAACUCGGUGCCGAAGUUAACACAUUAAGUACUCCGCCUGGGGAGUACGCUCGCAAGAGUAAAACUCAAAGGAAUUGACGGGGACCCGCACAAGCAGCGGAGCAUGUGGUUUAAUUCGAAGCAACGCGAAGAACCUUACCUAAACUUGACAUACCAAUGACAGCCUU